GUGGGGAAUAUUGGACAAUGGGCGAAAGCCUGAUCCAGCCAUGCCGCGUGUGUGAAGAAGGUCUUCGGAUUGUAAAGCACUUUAAGUUGGGAGGAAGGGCAGUAAGUUAAUACCUUGCUGUUUUGACGUUACCGACAGAAUAAGCACCGGCUAACUUCGUGCCAGCAGCCGCGGUAAUACGAAGGGUGCAAGCGUUAAUCGGAAUUACUGGGCGUAAAGCUCGCGUAGGUGGUUUUGUAAGUUGGAGGUGAAAUCCCCGGGAUCAACCUGGGAACUGCCUCCAAAACUGCAUGACUAGAGUACGGUAGAGGGUAGUGGAAUUUCCUGUGUAGCGGUGAAAUGCGUAGAUAUAGGAAGGAACACCAGUGGCGAAGGCGACUACCUGGACUGAUACUGACACUGAGGUGCGAAAGCGUGGGGAGCAAACAGGAUUAGAAACCCGGGUAGUCC
rnacentral:rRNA from 1 species